AUUUCUUCUUGCUUUCCCACCACGUGAGACAAGGAUGCGGGAUCCCCACACACUACAUAUGUGUUCUUAACACCGCUAAUCUGAGCCCUGACCACUUACAAAGGUAAGUGAAAAACGUGCUUUUUCCAAUAAACAGAUUUGUAUGUAUGGCAUUGUCUAUUUUGUGUUUAGGACACUCAAUGUAUAUGACUAUUACCCAUUUUUGACUUCCUCUUGAUAAUCUAUGGAUUCCUUUUUUUUUAUUUAUUUUUUUAUAAAUUUUUAUUUUUGCACUGCAUAGAAAUGGUACAAGCAGGCCUGAGGUGCCCCAAAAGCACUCCUCAGGCGUUUCUUCUUGCUUAACAUGCGGGACAUAUAAGUAACAAGCACAGUUUUAUAAUAUGAGCAGGCUAGGUUAGUUACCGUAUAUACUCGUGUAUAAGUCGAUCUCGUGUAUAAGUCGAGUGCUGUUUUGUGACCAACAAUUGAGAAAUAUGCUAUGACUCGUGGAUAAGUUGAGGGUAAAACUUGGGGCUAUGAAAUUCUGUGAUUUUUUUUAAUUUUUUUUUUAAUAACUUUGUCAGAUUUUACCUAAGAUCCUGGAACAAUCAAACAUGUCAGUUAAAAACUGGAUUUAAAAAAAAUCAGCAAUCAUGAACAUUUAAUUUAUUAACUGUAACGAAUUCCUUAAACUUAUUACAGGGAAUUUUUAGUUAUGCCCUCCAAAAUAGCACAAACAUUGUUUGGCCUAUACAAAUCCUUCAAACUCUGACUCAUCAUCGUCAGAAUGUCCAAAUAAGUCACGAUAUUGUUCUUCGGUGAUGCCAUCAGCAUAAACGUCGUCUUUGCUGUCAUCAUCUGUUGAAUUGGUAUAUGAAGCCGAUUCAUCUUUCUCUUCAUAGAUGGCGUCGUCCUCUGAUCAAUCCAUAGCAUUACUAAUUCCGCAUUUCAGGAACGACUUCUUGAUCAUUUCUGGUGAUAUUGAAUCCCAAGCAUCCUUUACCCAUUUUGAUAUCAAAUCAAUGUCUGGUUUCAUCAAGUUUCCUCCUUUCGUUAACUUUGCUUGACCAGAACACAUCCAUUGUUGCCACAUAUUGCGUAUUCGGUCCUUGAAAGGCUUGUUGAGACAGACAUCCAGUGGCUGGAGCAUUGAUGUUAGGCCGCCUGGAAUCACUGCUAACGUGGUUGCCAUUUUUUUUGCUUCAUCCUUCACAUUCUCUGUUAUAUGCGCACGGAACAUAUCCCACACCAAUAACGACUGACAUUUUCUUAGCGCUGUGCCUGGUUGCCUGCCCCACACAUUGCGCAGCCACAACUUUGUACCCUCCUCAUCCAUCCAGCCUUUAGGGUGAACACGAACAGUUACUCCUGCCGGAAUUUUUAAAUUCUUUGGCAUUGUUUUCCUCUUGAAUAUUAUUACCGGGCGCAGUUUAGUGCCAUCUGCCCGGCAAGACAGUACAACAGUGAAAUGUGACUUUUCAUGACCGGUUGUUUUUAUAAGUACAGUUUUUUCUCCAACGCUUUCUACAGUUCGAUUGCCAGGCAUAUCAAAUGUCAUCUGAGUUUCAUCCAUAUUACCAAUGUUAUUCAGAGCGAAACCAUUCUUUUUUCUCUGUUUGAUAAUGAAUUUGUGGAAUGACAUGACCUUUUCGUCCAGCUCUUUAGGCAGCUUCUGAGCGAUCUUUGUUCGCUGACGAAGACACAAUCCAUAUCGGUUCAUGAAUCGUGUGCACCAACCAGAUGAUGCUCUAAAUUUUGUCAUAUCUUCAGUCGCCAAAUAUUUUUCUUUUGCUAUCUGAAGUGCUCGUAUUCGAAUGCUCGAGCGAGUCACAACAUAUCCAUUUUGUCUACAUUCCAUUAUCCAGUCAUUCAAAUCCUUUUCCAUUCCAUCAAAAGGUGUAGCUUUGAAACGUAAUGUUUUCUUCAACUUCGGCAUGGCUUGCAAUUUAGCCUCAUUUUUCCUCCAAUCUCUUACGAGUUUUUCGCUGAUGCUAAACUCUCUUAAAGCUACGCUAUUAUUGGCUUCUUUUGCACGUUCAAUAACUUUCAAUUUAAGUGCAGCAGUGUAAGAAGCUCUUGUUUUCUUUGCAAAACUAAUUUUUCUGAAGAUAAGAAUUUACCGAAAAUGUUCUGUUAUUAAUGUAAUCUUAAUAAUCAUUUGACAACAAACAAGAGUAAAUAGUCAAUCAAGUUCCCUUAUAUGGUGUACCGAUAUGUUUCUUUCUCCCCCUCACUGCUCCUAUGUGUACAUUUCUCCCUUUUUCUUCCCAGUCUCUAUCUUCCGCCUCUGUCUCUUUUUCCCUCCCCCUGUGUCUCUCUUUUGCACAUGUUUCAUUAUCCACUAUCCCCUGUGUGUCUCUCUUCCCCUCCCUUUUGUGUGUGUCUGUGUCUCCUUCUCCCCCUCCCCUUGUGUCUCUCUAUUCCCUUUCUCCCGAGGCUGACCUUGCACGUGAGAGACUGGAAAUAUAACACAAAUGUCUCUCUAUCAUGCUCCCUCGCGGUACCCACAAUUCCCAGCAUGGACACAUCACGGAGUAAACCCUACUCUAUGAUGUGGCUAUGCUGUGCAUUGUGGGAGCCGCGAGGGAGCAUCAUUCGGUAGUUUUGUCUGCUCCCUCCUUCAGUUCGUGCUUUCUGACAGCUGCACUGCUAGGAUGAACAGUGCUGCCCUGACAGUGUUUAAGCCCAUAGUGUGCAGGGUAGCAUAGUACGCCUUAACUAUGGACCAGGAACCCUACACUAUAAGGCCAGGAAUACAUUUGUGUUCCUGACCUUAUACUGUUCCUUUAAUAUAUAGCGUAUAUAGUGUAUCCUUUAAUAUAUAGUGUAUAUAUUACACUGGCCCCCUUUUGCUGAGGGGGCCAGGGACCCUACACUAUAAGGCCAGGAAUGCAUUUGUGUUCCUGACCUUAUACUGUUCCUUUAAUAUAUAGCGUAUAUAGUGUAUCCUUUAAUAUAUAGUGUGUAUAUAGUGUAUAUAUUACACUGGCCCCCUCUUGCUUAGGGGGCAAGAGGGGGCCAGGGACCCUACACUAUAAGGCCAGGAAUUAAUUUGUGUUCCUGACCCUAUACUGUUCCUUUAAUAUAUACACACACGCACUCACUGGCUCAUACACAAAUGCACUCAUUGACUCUUGACACUCACAUUCACUAACAGAAACACACUCACUGACAGAAACGUUCACUGACAGAAACACACACGUUCACUGACAGAAACAUACACACAGACACAAACACACACACACUCACUGACACAAACACACACACAUUCACCGACAGAAACACUCACGUUCACUGACACAAACACAUACACACACAUUCACUGACAGAAACACUCACGUUCACUGACACACACAUACACACACAUUCACUGACAGAAACACAUACCGUACACACACAGACAAACACUCACGUUCAGUGACAGAAACACACACACAUUCAUUGACAAACACACACUGACAAAUAUACACACUGACAGAAACUCACUAGAUUAUAAACACUUUUGUUCUAUUUCAAACACUUGGCUGCUGGGAUAUGAUGUAAUGUAUCCCAGCAGUCCUUAACAUAAUGUGAGCUGAUUGGCCCAUCUGGAGGGGUGAGCUGAUUGGCCCAUCUGGAGGGGUGAGCUGAUUUAGCCCGCGCGGCGCAUCUGGAGGGGUAAGAGAAAGUGACCGGCGGGAGAGUGGUUUUAUGUGCACCCGCUGGUCCCACGGCCCCCUCCCUCCCGCUACCCUGAUUAUGCCGCUGCAGCCGCCCUCCUUCUUCAUGCUUUCACUGUCAGCAUGAAAGUGAGUAUGCCGCCGGACCGGCUAGGCGGCCGCCCGGUCCGGCGGCACCACUAUGAUCCAGCUAUUCCCCCCUCACACCCAUGUAUAAGUCGAGCCUGCAAUAUAACAUUAAUUUUGCAGGUAAAAUUUCUCGACUUAUACACGGGUAUAUACGGUAUAUCAUUAAGCAUCAACAUUAAGAGUGAGGUUAUAUUGUAAACAGGCUUAGUUAGUUAUUUUAUUAAAGCAUCAGCAUCAAUACUAAAGGCAUCAGAACAUGGUGCCAUUAAUGUCCGAGGGUGCUGAAGUAGGAUUAUUAGUAUAAGGUUCUGCAGGCAGUCAAGCACGAUAGGCAUAAUAUGGCAAACAUACGAGAGCAUUAACUUUGCUUGGACGCCAUGGGUUUACUCACAUGGAUGCUGAGUAAAGUAAUAGGUAUUAAUCUAAGGCAUUAUACUGUUUGAAAUCGUGCAGGAUGAAAUUCACUAAAGUAAACUAAAAUAAAAUAACCACUGGGCUGCGCCCCCAUAACAAUUUGAACAGAGGGAGAAUCUAGGUUAGUAGAGCUGUUGCCUAUGGUAGAGCGGCAGAUCAAGUUGUCUCAAGCCCUUAAACUAAAGCUUGUCGCUAAGGGGCCUGCAUAAGGCUGUUUAACCGAUGCCUAACUGUGGCAGGCAGUUAACCUUGGAAUGCACGAGUCCACUGUUCCACAUGCUUGGGCACCACCAGUCCUAUGAGGAGAUAUGCUCCUGUGUCACGCCGGCAGGACAAAAACCAUCCACAGGACCAGUGUCUCUCGGUGCUCGUGGUCGCUGAGUGUGUGUCAUGCCACUCUGCGGCCUGUGGGCCAGGACUCUGCCCCUGCUAGUGUGUCCCACAGAGGAACGACUGCAAGGUAUUGAGGUUGAUUUUUGAAGUCAUUGUGUUGUCGACGGGCCCCUCACGGGUCUUUCCCUUGCUCGUGCCUUUACAGUACGCUGGGUAGGAGCUCUGUGUAGUUGUAAGCUGUGGGCUUGAGAGCCUCUCUUGUCAGGCCGAGGCACACGUAGGUUGUGCCGCACAGGAUGACCGGGGCUUUCGGCGACUUGGCAGUGUUUGAGGCACUUGUUUACGCUUAGCCACCUUUGGCACAAUGUCAGGAUUCUCGGGUUUUGUCAUAGCUUUGCCGUGCUGCAGAUACGGGUGGAGCGCUGCUGCCGUAGCUGAUCUCUGUUUACUGCGCUGGAGUUGGGCAGGUGGGAUAGGAGUGUUGGAUCUGCUGGCUAUGCAGGUCCAAAAAUCUCAGCAUAACGUUUCAAAUCUGGCUUCGAAGCCCUGCGCCCAGUCCAGGCUAUCUAGAUUUGCUUGUUUCCGUGAAGGCCUCUGCAUGGCGGCCAUCUUUAAUCCACCACGCGGUCUGAGACUCCACCGAUUGCAGGCUAUUUCGGUAAGUGGUGUGCCCAGUUGGGACCGGGUUAUCCCCCACCGGUUCUUCAGGAUGUGUAGUCCCCAGCAGGAGAUCAGCCGCCUCUCCCAGCUGUCAGGCCCGCAGUCCUGGUAGGCCGCAAGGCCAGAGGGUAAAGUACCCUUUCAGGAGCUGGUAAUUUGGGAUCCUCAAUAUCCCUGUUGUUUAAGGCGCUUGUCAAGCAAAAUUCUGAUCCUUCUGCCAGUUCUUUGUGUAAUUUUAGUAGAUUUAAAGUUUGUGCUGGCAGGAGCUCUCUGUAAACAUGUCAGGCCCCACCCCCUCCUCUUUUUUUCAUGUCAUUCACCCAUACCCAUUCUAUGUUAUAUUUAAGACCCUAAAAAGGUUACAUAAUUACAUAGCUGAAAAGAGACUUGUGUCCAUCAAGUUCAGCGUUCCUCACAUUUGUUUUUUGCUGUUGAUCCAAAAGAAGGCAAAAAAAACAGUUUGAAGCACAAUUGUGCAACAAGCUAGGAAAAAAAUUCCUUCUUGACCCCAGAAUGGCAGUCAGAGUUAUCCUUGGAUCAAGCAGUUAUUACCCUACAUUGAAAGAUUAUAUCCUUAAAUAUACUGUUUUUGCAAGUAUGCAUCUAGUAGCUGUUUGAACAUCUGUAUGGACUCUGAUAAAACCACUUCUUCAGGCAGAGAAUUCCACAUCCUGAUUGUUCUUACAGUAAAAAAACCUUUCCUUUGCCUUAGACGAAAUCCUUUCUUCCAGUCUAAACGCAUGGCCUCGUGUCCUAUGUAAAGUCCGGUUUGUGAAUAGAUUUCCACAAAAUGGUUUGUAUUGGCCCCCGAAUAUAUUUGUAUAAUGUUAUCAUAUCCCCUCUCAGGCGAUGUUUUUCUAAACUAAUUAGGUUUAAAUUUGUUAACCUUUCUUCAUAGCUGAUAUGUUCCAUUCCUUCUUUACGCCAAAGUGCAUAACUCAACAUUAAAUUUAAUCUGCCAUUUGAGUGCCCAGUCCCCCAAUCCCAGUCUACCUAAAUCCCUCUGCAGCAAAGUAAUAUCUUGCUCACAUUUUAUUAUUUUACAAAGUUUUGUGUCAUCUGCAAACAAUGAAACAUGACUUUCAAUGCUGUCUUCAAGAUCAUUUAUAAACAUGUUAAAUAGGAGUCCAAGAACAGACCCCUGAGGGACACCACUUGCCACCUCUGUCCAGCUUGAAAAUUUACCAUUAAUGACAACUCUUUGUACUCUGUUUUUAAGCCAAUGUUCUACCCAAGAACAAGCAUUUUCAUCUAGACCGAUUUCCUCGAGUUUGAACACUAAUCUAUUGUGUGGAACUGUAUCAAAUGCCUUGGCAAAAUCCAAAUAGAUCACAGGCCCAUAUUUAUUUUUAACCCCUGCAGUGACAUUCCGUGUAUAAGACGACCCCCAAUUUAAAAGGACACUAUAGUUACCUGAACAACUUUAGCUUAAUGAAGAAGUUUUGUUGUAUAGAACAUGCCCCUGCAGCCUCACUGCUCAAUCCUCUGCCAUUUAGGAGUUAAAUUCCUUUGUUUAUGAACCCUAGUCACACCUCCCUGCAUGUGACUUGCACAGCCUUCCAUAAACACUUCCUGUAAAGAGAGCCCUAUUUAGGCUUUCUUUAUUGCAAGUUCUGUUUAAUUGAGAUUUUCUUAUCCCCUGCUAUGUUAAUAGCUUGCUAGACCAUGCUAGAACCUCCAGUAUGUGAUUAAAGUUCAAUUUAGAGAUUGAGAUACAAUUAUUAAGGUAAAUUACAUCUGUUUGAAAGUGAAACCAGUUUUUUUUUUUUUUAUGCAGGCUCUGUCAAUCAUAGCCAGGGGAGGUGUGGCUAGGGCUGCAUAAACAGAAACAAAGUGAUUUAACUCCUGAAUGACAGUGAAUUGAGCUGUGAAAUUGCAGGGGAGUGAUCUAUACACUAAAACUGCUUUAUUUAGCUAAAGUAAUUUAGGUGACUAUAGUGUUCCUUUAAGACAAAAAGAUUUUUGGGGGGGAAAAAGUUUAAGACAUGCAAAAAUGCGGUAACCUGCCAUGUAUUUCAAUGGUAUCUAUUUGUGAACGAAUGAUUUAUGGAGGAUCCGAAGAUCUCACAAAAAUCCCUAUUUUGUACUUUCAAAUGUGCGAGAGUAUGAAAAUUAGAUGUCUUCCAUCUGCUAACAGCUGAAUACUUUACUUUACAUUUAUCAAAAGGCAUCAUGACCAUGUAGGAGGACUUGGGUGAAUUUUUGCAAAUUAAUACAUAUAAAGACCGUGUGUGUUAUAUUUUACCUUUGUGGUCUUACUCACAACCCUCAGUUCUUAUCAUGUACAUAUGUAACAGUUCUUGACUACAUUUACUAUCUAUACUGAUGACCACAAGUUACUAUCCAUUUUACUGUCAUUGACCAGAAGUAUUUUUCUUCCAUGUGUGUGUUUGCUGGAUCAUAUUUUUAUUUUAUUUGCUUUGUCAGGCCGGAAUGUGGAGAGAUGAAGACGUGACACAGAUUUUGAUUUUAUAUUCACUGGAAGCACUAAUUUUGGCACCUGCACAUUUAAUACUAAAUAAAUAUAUGAAGGAAUUAUUUUAUUUACCAACAAUAGCUUAAAGAAUUUGAGAAAUAUUAAGUGAUGUACACCUGUUUGAUCUGACAUUGAGUGGUGGUAGAAUAUCCUGACCGCAAACAAGUUGCCUGCCUAGUUAAUUUCAUUGCAUCCAAGAUUCAGAUUAAUUGUUCCAGUGGACACGAGUUAUUAUCCAGGUGUGAAUGAAAACCUCAAAUUGGCUGUCAGAACGCCAGGAAAUUGUGAGAUUAAAAAAUGAUGGUUCCAGAUACAUUUGUUAAAUACCUUAUUUGCUGGUAAGGUAAUUUUAGUAAUGCCAAAGAGAAACACCCCACUUACAAAUAACAAGGUAUACUCCAGAAUCCUAAAGCAUUUCAGCUUUAUGUGUGUCCUUUUUUUUUUUUUUUUGUUCAUAUUUACAAAAAGUGCAGAUUUCAAAUAAAAUUGGCACUUUUAUAAAUUAACGUUAUUAGACCCCUUGGCUGUCAUUCAGACAACCUGUCCUAUUACGUCCUGUUUUAGUUUAGCUCAUUGGAAAACACAAUAGGCAGGCCUAGCAAAGACUUCUCAUUGAGCUGAAUUGGGAAGUCUGUUAUUGGAUGUGUGUGUGCAUAUUUAUAUUUCCUGGCCAUAUCCAUUGCAGCACAACAAUGGGUUAGCUCCUCCCAUCCCCAGGUAGACAGGAACCUUAUUAAAAUAAGUGUAUAAGUAACUCAUUUUCUUUUUUAUUUUGUUCCUGUCCUAUCUCCAUAGAACAAGUUUUUUGGGAUCUGGUUUGGUAUCUCUCAUUUUCUCUUUUUGACUUACCUCUGGGUUGUUACCCACUGCUCUAAGGGAUUUCAGCUUCUUUUCCUUUGAAGGAAGCUUCAGUACAAUGGCCCUGUGCAAAGGUGACCCCCUGAAGGAACCCCUUUAGUUACCGGGGCCAAGUUGUUGUGACCCUGGGGAUAACAAGUAUAAUAAUACCCUUGGACUACCAUACUCCUUCCAUAAUUUUAAGUUACCUGAUGAAUAUAAUGGAGUCUGAUCUUUAGCCUAGCUUUUCUAGUUGAAUUUGGUACCUCUCUGCACUUCUUUCAUGGCUUUUCCCAGUACAGUUUGCAGUUUUUUUGCCAAAUUAACUCACAUGAAUAAUUGUGAUAUGUCCAGUCAAUAUUAUUUUGGGCCAUCACCGAUUUCAUAGCUUUAGGAAAGUACAGUGUGCGGGUUUCCUCUUCAACAGUCUGAGUUUUUAUAAGCUGAAUGUGCAUGCCAAAAUUGGCAUUUGGUCCACGAUACUGCGCAUACGUGGACCAAAUGAAGGUUAUCUGAAUGCAGCGCAUGCAAGAAAUUUCGGGGUUUUUAGUGCACGGUAGCGUUAAGGCCGUCACAAAGUCUUUUCAAUUGCCAAGUUUAUAUUUAGGUCCUAUGUAAAUUAAUUAGCCUUUCCUUCUUUGCAUACACAGUCCAUUUGGCAGAUUUGUUAAAUUUCAACAAAACUGUAUCCUAAAAGUAUUAAAGAGAGAGAUUAUUUAAAGUGAUACCUUAAAUAAUUUAUCUCAUCCUUUCUUUCCUGGUCCUUCAUUGGGACCUUCUUUCAAUCCUCAGGAUGUCCAAUAUGGAUUCGGAUUCCUCUGUCUAUGACAAAAGGUCACAAUCCAAGAGCAAUAUGUAAGCUAUAUAGUUAUUUGUAUGUUGUUUCUCAGGGCAAUUAUAUAAAACAAAAGAGUGUGUAUAUUAAGAUUUCACUUUUAUUAUAGCUCAAUGGGGAAUAAUUCAAGCAGUGUUAAUUUUGUCGACUAACAAUUUUAGUCAACAAAAAAUUUUGUCGAAUACAACUAAAAUGAUAUUUAUAGUCAAAAGACUAGGACUAAAAUGAAAUUGAAAUUUGCAGCCAAAAUUAACACUGCACAAAGAGGGGCUGUGGAAUGGGCUAAAGAGAUAGACUAGAGCUUGGGAGAGACAACUAGGUGGGCUUGGAGGACACAGAGGGGCUGGGGAAGCGGCAAAAGAGACAGAGGCUUUAACUAAGCCCAUUAGAUUAUAGUUGCAUCGACUAAAAUCUACUGUUGGUUUAGUCAACUAAAACAAUUCAGAUUACUAAAAUACGACUAAAACUAAAAUGGCUUUUGUAGUCAAGACUAUGACUAAAACUAAAUUGAAAUUUGCCACCAAAAUUAUCACUGAAAUCAAAAGAGAAGUUCCCUGAGAAGUAGCAAUGCGAAGCAUGUGAUUCUAAGACCUUAGAAGGAAAACACCUCUGCAUAGCCUGCCUAACAGCAGCAUCAGUGCCUUUCACCUCUACACCAAACGUCAUGGGCUUUUUCAAACAGCUUGUCCCAGGGUUUAAAUAGGCCAGUCAAUCACGUAAAAAUACCAAGAUCUGUUUUGGUCUAAAGAUUAUUUCUCAGACAUGGAAGUGGAAUCCUUUUGAGAUACCCGUUCUUUGCAUAUGCGUGUGCACGAGGUGUGCCUGGGCACACCCUAAUCCCCGCGGCACACGUAUGGAUUGAGACCGGUAGGGGAGAUCUCAGGAUCUCCACUGACGGCUCAUGCAAAGCCGGCGCUAUCCAAGCGCUGGUUCUGCUCUAAGCCUCCAUGGGCCGGUGGGGAGAUCCUCCUCACCGGCCCACAGUAGCAUGGAGGGAGGAAGGAGAGGACCCGGGGAGCUCUAGCCAGCAGCUCCACCGGGUUCCUCUUGCGAGACUCAGGUCUCACGAGAGUGAACUCUAGCCCCACAGGCUAGAGUUCACUCUCCACUGGACCACCAUGGGUGGCACAUGGCAGCAAGGAUCCCCCUUCUUACAUAAGAAGGGUGGGAGAAAUUUACUAAUUUGCCCCCACCUCCACCCUCACAGUCCCUCCAAACAUAGAGCUCACACACACAGCACACUAACAGCACCAACACACGAACAGGACCCUAACAAACACACACAAACACCCUCACACACAGCACACGAACAGGACCAGCACCCUCACACACAGUACACCAACAGCACCCUUACAAACACACAGCACACAAACCGCACCCACACAGAAAGCACACUAACAGCACCCUCACAAUCACAGCACACUGACAGCACCUUCCCAAUCACACACAGCACACACAUACAGCACCCUCACACACAGCACACUAACAGCACCCUCACACACACAGCACACUAACAGCAUCCUCAGAAUCACACACACACCGCACACAAUCAGCACCCUCACAAACAAACACACAGCACCCUCACACACACUAACAGCACCCUCACACACACAGCACACUAACAGCACCCUCACACACACAGCACACUAACCGCACCCUCACACACACAGCACACUAACAGCACCCUCACACACACAGCACACUAACAGCAUCCUCAGAAUCACACACCGCACACACACACAUCCCGCAAACAGCACCCUCACACACAUAGCACACUAACAGCAUCCUCAGAAUCACACACCGCACACAAACACACAUCCCGCAAACAGCACCUUCACACACAUAGCACACUAACAGCACCCUCACAACCACACAUCACGCAUACAGCACCCUCACACAAAGCACACUAACAGCACCCUCACUAUCACACACAGCACACAAUCAGCACCCACACAAUCAGCACCCUCACACACAACACCCUUACAAACAAACACACAGCACCCUCACACACAGCACACUAUCAGCACCCUCACACGACACCCACACACAGCACACAAACAGCACCCUCACACGACACCCACACACAUCACGCAAACAGCACCCUCACACACACACACAUCACGCAAACAGCACCCUCACACACACACAUCCCGCAAACAGCACCCUCACACACACACAUCCCGCAAACAGCACACUAACAGCACCCUCACAAACACAGCACACUAACUAUUUUUCCAACUUGAGGAAGAGGAAAAUUACUUUCCCAGUCCAUGAAGCUUUUAAAGACUUUGGGAAUGAUCCAAGAAGGGGAAAAAAAAGGAAGAAUUAAUUGUAUGUACCUAUUUUGAGGCUUCAGAUUCUGCUGCCUGGGACUCUACUACUAAAGUAGACUCAGCUAUAGUAAGACUGGCCAAGUGUAGUACUUUACCAGUGGACAAUGCUGGUUCUUUGAGGGACUCUAUGGACCUUAACUUAGCCAAAGUUAAUUUGGCAGCAGGCAUCGGGCUUCACCCUGCUAUAGCACUUACAUCUUUUUUAUCCAACACUUAAGCUAUGGACAGAGGACAUCGAGGAGGAUCUUAAAGAUGAAAGGAGCAGAUCCUCUAUUAUUAACAGCUUUUAAGAUAUAAAACUGGCUGCAGACUUUACCUUGGAAGCUUCUGGGGACAUGGUCAGGACUCUAGACAGAAAUAUAGUUCUGUCAGUCUCCACCAGAAGGGCUCUCUGUCUUAGAUCUUGGACAAAUUGAUACAUCUUCAAAGCACAGUAUCUUCUCCAUUCCCUUUCAAGCAAAAUGCUCUUUUGUAAGCAUUUAGACGAGUGCAUCAAAAUCGCAAAAAAUGGGAGAAGAACAUUCCUGCCUCAAGAUCACAGGACUUAAAAAUCAUGCAGAAACAGAAGAUAUGGAGAAAAUUCUUCCUUUCAGGAUAACAUAGCAUAUUGAUCUGGCAGAGAAUGUGGAAGAUCCCAGACAUGGAAAGGUGGUCAUUUGUCUAAUAAAGUUAACUGGUCCAGAGGUACAGCCCCAGCUAAAAGCUCAAGGUUCUUAUGAUGGUCUACUCUCGCAGACUAGAGGGGUAGGAGCUUGCCUGCUCCAAUUCAAUCAUGUUUGGUAGAAGCCAAUCCAAGACAAAUUAGUCCUAGACAUUAUUUCAAAAGGUUGCUUCCCACAAUUCAACAACACUCCACCAAGGCGAAGCUUUCAAAUCUCGAAAUGGGCAGGAGACAAGGAAAAAAGAGUCAUUAUAAAGGUUCCGCAAAGAGAAAGAAACCUCAGAUUUUAUUCUCACUUGUUUCUGACCAAGUAGGUGUCUGGAGGUUGGAGACCAAUUCUGGAUUUACACAGAUGAAACGGAUAUUUGAAGGUGAGAAAAUCCAAAAUGGAAUCUCUACAAUCCAUUCUGACGGUUGUUUUCCCUUACCAGUGGUUGAUAUCCAUCAAUUUGAAAGAUGAAUAUUUCCAUGUGCCUAUAGCCAAGCAACACCAAAGUUUCCAGUGUUUGGUGUAGAGGAAGAGCAUUAUCAAUUUCAAGCUCUUCUUUUCAGACUAAGUACUUACAUUCUAGAAAGUGAUGGUUGUCCUUAUAGUGGAACUCCGGAAAAGAGGCUUUGCAAUCCAUCAUUAUCUGGAUGACAAAUUGAUUCUGGCAGACCGCAAACAGUCCCUUAUAUCUCACGGUCAUAUCUGCAUAAAAACUCUUUCAGAGCACAUUUGGAAGAUCAAUAUUUCCAAAAUUCAACUGGCACCGUCUCAAAAGAUGAUUUACCUUGGAGCCCUCUUCAAUACCUUAAAUGCCAUGUUUGACUUUCCAAAGACAGCACCACCCUGUCUUUCCAAGUAGUCAACAGGUCCUUUUAUUUCCUGGUUCGGUCAACUUAGUUGCACUGAACUCAAGAAACACUUGCCUUGCAAAGACCUCUCAUUCAGCUGCAUUGGGUAGUCUGUGAUUGAACAAUCACAUAAAGUCUGGGUGUGGUUAGAAGAGGAAGGCUUGCAAAGGCAGCUGAUAAGAGAUUGUUAGCUUUUGCAAGCUGUUUUUAGAUAUAACUCCAAUGAAAAAAAAUGUGUAAAUACACACACUCAAGUUUUCAUUUGGGGUAUAUCUACUAAACAGUGGUUUAUUUUAUAUUUGGGCAGUUGAGUGUCCCUUUAACUGCAGCAUUUAAGAAUAUGCUACAUCUUCCUUUUGUGUUUACUUUGGUCCAGGAUAAUUAUAACAGCAUUUCAGCUAUAUCAUUUUCUGGAAAUACCAGAGAAAUUACCAAUUUUGCUUUCUAAAUUAUAGGGUGUAUUUCAGUAUCUUUUCUUUUUCACUUUAAAUAAAAUGCCUAAUUAAUUUAAGGGUGAUUCUGUUCCGCAUGUUAAAAAGCAAGUAUGCCCAAGUUCACCAAGUUGGUUAUUCAGGCUUACACAGGUUUGUAGAGUCCUCUAGUAUUUGAAAUGAGUAGAAAAUAUAGCUAAACUCACAAGCCACUCUUUUUAGUUUAGCUCUAGUUCAAUUAUCAUAGUGGUCAGCAUAGGUUAACAGACACCUCAAAAAAUGUUUUAUGUAUAACAAUCUUUUCAUCAAGUUUUGAAAGUGUUUUUUUUGUUUGUUUGUUUGUUUCAUUAACCCCUUAAGACCGGAGGGCGUACUAUUACGUCCUCUAAUAGGCGGCUCUAAACGCCGCCGGGCGUAAUAGUACCCCCUCCGGUCUUUCUGUACUUACCCGGUCGCCGGCGGUCCCACGCCGGCGAUCGCGGUGGGGGGGACUCCCAGGGAGCCCCCCGCGGCACGACCGUCCUCCAGGAAGCCCCCCGGCCGUGUGAGAGUGGGGUCCUAGCGAGGUCCCCACAAUCACAUGGCCGGGGAUAGCUGGCUUCUGUAUUGCCAGCAGGGGGGCUGCCUGUAAUGACAGGUGGUCCCCCUGCUGGCUGAAAAUAAAAAUGAAAUAAAUAAAUAGUGUAAAAAAAUAAAUAAUAUAUACUUAGAUCAUAUAUAUAUAUUAUAUAUAUAUGAUCAAAGUAUAUAUAUACACAUAUACAUACACACAUGUACACCGUCUAGGUGUAUUUUACUAUUAAUAUAUAUAUAAUUAUAUAUAUAUAUUAAUAUCAAAUUACACGUACACUGAUACUGAUUAAAUAUAUAUAUAAUUAUUGUUAUAUAUAUAUUUAUAUAUAUUAUAAAAAAAAUUAAAAUGUAAAUACGUUAAAAAAUAAAAUUACAAAAAUAAUUAAAAAUAAAUAAUUAAAAAAUAUAUAGAUGUGUGUUAUUUCGUUCUAACUGUAUUGUGAAAUUAAUAUAUAUAUAUAUAUAUCAAAAUACACAUAGAACGAAAUAAUAUAUAUAUUUAUACACAUAAAUAUAUACGUAUAUAUCACUAUAUAUAUACCUAUAUAUAAAUAAAAAUAUUUUAAAAAAAUUAUAUAGAUAUAUACAUAUAUAUACACAUACGUAUAUAUAUACAUAUAUUGAUUCUACAUAUAUAUUUAUGUAAUAUUUUACAUAAUUAGGUAUCUUAAUUAAUUACAAUUAGCAGGACCUGCAUGACAACCCAUGCCGAAAGUAAAGGGAAUUUAAUUUGCUAGCACUAUAUUUAACCCUAUAACUUUCCGAGACACCAUAAAACCUGUACAUGGGGGGUACUGUUCUACUCGGGAGACUUCGCUGAACACAAAUAUUAGUGUUUCAAAACAGUAAAAUGUAUUACAACGAUGAUAUCGCCAGUAAAAGUGACGUUUUUUGCAUUUUUCACGCACAAACAGCAUUAAACGGACAAUAUUAUUGCUAUGAUACUUUUUACUGUUUUAAAACACAAAUAUUUGUGUUCAGUGAAGUCUCCCGAGUACAACAGUACCCCUCAUGUACAGGUUUUAUGGUGUUUUCAAAAGUUACAGCGUCAAAUAUAAGGCUUGCGUUUCAUUUUUUUCACAUUAAAAUUCGCCAGAUUGGUUACGUUGCCUUUGAGACCCUAUGGUAGCCCAAGAAUGAAAAUUACCCCUAUGAUGGCAUACCAUUUGCAAUAGUAGACAACCCAAGGUAUUGCAAACAGGGUAUGUCCAGUCUUUUUUAGUAGCCACUUAGUCACAAACACUGGCCAAAAUUGGCGUUUUUUGCAUUUUUCACACACAAACAAAUACUAACGCUAACUUUGGCCAGUGUUUGUGACGAAAUGGCUACUAAAAAAGACUGGACAUACCCCAUUUGCAAUACCUUGGGUUGUCUACUAUUGCAAAUGGUAUGCCAUUAUGGGUGUAAAUUUCAUUCCUGGGCUACUAUAAAGUCCCAAAGGCAACGUAACCAAUCUGGCGAAUUUCAAUUUCAAAUGUAACGUGCUAUAUUUGACCCUGUAACUUCCCAAAACGCCAUAAAACCUGUACAUAGGGGGUACUGUUUUACACGUGAGACUUUGCUGAAUACAAAUAUGUGUAUUUUAUUGCAGUAAAAGCAAACAGUAUUAUGACACUGACCGUUUAAUUGUCAUGUAGAACUAAAAAAAUCCAAUAAAAUCGUAUUUUCUCCCAUUUUUUUCAUAUUAAAUUAUGUUUCAUAGCUAAAUAUUUGAUAUUAAAUGAAAGCCCUGUUUCCCCUGAAUAAAAUGAUAUAUAAUAAGGGUGGGUGCAUUUACUAUGAAAUAGGUGUAUUACGGUUGGACAGACAUGUAGCGCAAAUGCCAGGUUUUGUUUACAUUUUGUUUUGUUCACAACGUGUACAUUUGGCUCCGUCCUUAAGGGGUUAAGCAUAUGUAAAACCUUUUAGUUUAUGACCAGAUGCUUCAGCCAUAUACAUACACCUUGGGUCAGACAGUGUUAAUAAACAGACUAUUUCUGUGUUCUUCCCUGUUCCUAUCCCUGGAAUGAAGCACAAAAGCAUACAGACACUGUUGUGUUUCAAACACUGGCUGACACAAGGUACAUAUGGGUACAGUAUUUCCCAAUUUUUACAUAUACUUCAUUUAAAAAAUCUAUUUCCUUUCAGAAAUGUAGAAAAAGUAUUGUAUAACAAAAUAUCAUUUUGAGGUGACCGUUGUACCUUAAAUGCAAUUAUAGAAAAAUUAUAAUGUUUCAACUACAGUGCAUGCACUAAAUGAAUACCUUGAAAAAUUAAAAUUUGUCCAGCACAAAAAUUGUCUUGUGGUCCUUUCCUGGCACUAUAGGAUCCCUUUAAAAUAAACACAUUUUCCUGGCACUAUAGGCUUUUGGAGUGCCCCCCUACCUCUGCGCUAAAGGGGUUAAAACCCCUUCAGCCGCUUACCUUACUCCAGCACUGGUGAUCUCUCCUCCCCCGCCGAUGUCAGCUCCUGAGUGGAGCUGAAUGCGCAUGCACGGCCAGAGGCGCGCGCACGUGCGCAUUCAAACCUGCCCAUAGGAAAGCAUUACUUAAUGGGGAUCUUAUUUGACACUGGACUCCAUGAGGACGUCAUUACUCAGUGUAAAUCGCGGAAGCGGCCUCUAGUGGCUGUCAGGGAGACAUUGAGCUGAAGUGGCCUGGGUGCCUAUAGUGGUCCUUUAAGUUGCAAAAAAAAAAGGUAACAUUUCACCCUUUAACAAACGUAUUACUUCAGCGCAUUUUGUGUGAAUAUAUUGUCCAUUAAUUAAAGUAGUGGUGUAUCAUCCUCCAUAAUAAUGAUUAACAUUCUAUUCUAAAGUGUAGAAAACUCCCGUGAUCAGACAGCUGGAUAUUUUUUUUCCUGUAAGUUUGUUUAAGCAUCAGUUGGCAAACUCAUUAUUCAUCAGCCCAAAACAGUGCUCACAGGUCUAAGAAGUUCAGAUUAAGUAUACUCAACUUGCUUGAAGAGUUGGUUAAAAUUGAAUGUGCAGAGGCAUUCCCGCAGCUCCUGCAAAGCCCGUCUGAAUCCAUAAUAAUCGGGGGCAAUCAGCACCAAUUUUGGCCACAGACCCUGACACUGAUUCCGGGGCAGCCAGUUGACACCGCCGAUGCCGUUGUUUGAUACGCCCGGCUCCAAAAAUCAACACCAGGGCGGGAAGGCCUACCACGCGAGUGUCCAACAGAGGGACUUCUACCAGCAAGACAAGCCUAUUCGACUGAGUCCGUGUGACAUCAUACUGCGGUGCCAAUCAAUGUCAGACAAAUUGGGGUUCCUGUCAGCGCUACAAGGAAAGACUUCUUUUGAGUUCAAGGACUGUCGACUCUCCUUUUUUCAGGACUUGAGCAGUGGAUGCACUACUCUGGCACAAACAUAUGCAACCACUCACUAAACCACUCCAAGCAGCUGGCAUUGCCUACAAGUGAUCAACUCUGGUGACCCUCUGGGUUACCAAAGAUGGCAAGCACGACAAGGCCACUGACCCCACAGAGGGCCCAGCACUAGGCCUCCCUACCCUAGCGAUGACCUCGAUGACACAGCCAGGCCACCAAUCUUGGAAUGCGGAAGCAGCCACAGUCGGCGCACCCAGAUCGCACAGAGGCAUCAAGACCUGAACCAAUGCUCUCUGCCUUUACUAAGUUAAUCUAGCUAUUAUGUUUAGCAGCGUUUGUUAUUUACUUUUGGUUAAUCAUUCUGUUGCAACAACCAAGUAAGAUGUGAUAGGGACCUAUUGGGGUUCCACCACUGAGCUCCGGUGGCACUCUCGCCCUGGGGUAACAGGAUACUACCAGCACGGUAGCUCUAUAACCUCUCUUAGUGUAGUGCUUUAAGUCUCAUCUGCCACCAUUAGACCUAUGCCCUACGGGCGCAGAUAGGCCCUCCCACAGCUCCCACCCACCUAGACGAAUACUCGACAUAGAUACUAAACAACCUUGCGACUACACAUAGCUGUCACCACUACUAUAAAGUUGACCAAGGCCCACAGUUCUUUUCCACUACAGGCGUUAGCCACGCAGCUUCAGAUGGAUGCCAACACGGGUGCAGGCCAAGAUUAAGCAAGGCGCUCCUUGGGGGAACGCCACAACACACCACACACCUAGCACAGGUCAAGUCCUGGGUGCCACAAGAGGCACAUUACUUCAGUAGCCUUAAGCGAACAGACUGGGACUUGACCCCAUAGCCAGAAGUCAUAAUGGAUACCACACGCCUCACCCACCAUAUGGCUCCAUGAUAACUGCACUGACGCACAUAGACAGGUUAAAGUAGUAGCUUGGCUAAGUAUGACUGUCUUUUCAUCGCAUGAAAAAUAAAGAUGAUUUUUUUUUUUAAAUUGAAUGUGCAAUGAAUGAAUUCCAUAUAUGUAGUGCCACUUAACUUUCUUUUUUUUCUGUAAUAUUUUGUGUUACCACGUUUGUUCUUUUAUUACUCUUAUUUCUGCAACUGAUAUUUUUUUAUUUAUUUUUUUUCAUGCCUUUUCAGGUUGACUUUCAAGCUGUGCCACAUAUACUGGAAUUGGCCUGGAACUAUUCGGGUACCAGCUCCUUGCAAAUAUGCACACAAACUAGCAUUUCUUUCU
rnacentral:lncRNA from 1 species